CCGCACCAACGCGAAGCGGCGCCUACCCGCUCGCUCGCUUCCGUCCCCGACUCCCCCUCCGUCCCCAUCCUAUUCGCUCCGCCGCACCACCCACCCCAUCGCCCGCCUCCCGGAAUCCUCUCGCCUCCCGCCGCCGCCGCCACAGCCACCACCACCCCGGCCGGAGGCCACGCGCCCCACUCGGCCGCUCGAACCCGAGGUCAGAUCCAAACCACAGCCCCAGGUCCGAAUCGCGCCGCAUUUUUUCUAGGUUUUGGUACGGAUCUAGGGUUGGCCGUGGAAUUCCGGGCGUGGGGCAAUUCGUUCGAUUCGCUCGGAUUCCUCCGCGGCUCGGAUUUCGUGGUUAUGGCCGCCGGGCGCCACGGAGGGUACAGGGACUACGAGGCCAGGGAGCGGGAGCCCGACGCCGAGGCCGCCAGGAGGAGCCAGAGCCUCGGCGACCGCCACCGGAGCGACGCCGACCGCCGCCGCGACGGCGGGCGCAGCAGCGGUGGCAGGGAAUUCUCCAACGGCUAUGGCCACCGCCGCUCGCACCCGCCCAAAAGCCGCCUCUCCACCAGGCUUGGGGACCGGGAGCCCGGCGAGGUGCUCAGCGGGAGUGCGUCAGAUGACUCUGGUGGGAGGUCAGGCAGAGCGGCGGGGGAAAACACCUUGGCCAGUUCUAGCAGGGAGGGCGAGGUGGCGGUGGGGGCGCCUGCUGCCCCUUCGCCCAGUAAAAAGAGGAAAUUUUCGCCCAUAAUUUGGGACAGGGAUAGCCCAAAGCCGCCGCCGUUGCAUUCUGGUGCAGUGACUGUGAAGGGAGUGGUGGAAUCCGCAUCUGCUGAUACAGCAAGUGACCAGAAAGUGGUGGAGUCCUCUUCUGCUCAACUCCCUCCCCCUCCUCCGCUGCCGCCACAGGGGCACAUCCCAGAGAGAUUGGUCGUGGAGAAUUCACCAAUGGAUGUGGACCUUGCUGUUGAUACUGGGAACAAUGAGCAGUUGCACGAGCUGGAGGAUAGUAAAGUGCUUGAGGUAGAGGAGAGUAAAGUAAAGGAUGAAGAGGAGAGUAAAGUAAAGGAGGAAGAGGAGUACCCAACAAUGAGGAACAUAUCAACUUCAAGGUGGGCAGGUGCUAACGAUGACGAGGAGGAGGGUGUAACACUGAGGAAGAAGAAAGGCUUAUCUCCUGCAGAUUCCGCUGAGCUGGGGCAGGGUAAGAAGACUCCUACUCCAGAACUUGGGGAGGUUGUGACCAGUGAUAUUUCUGGACGGAGGACCAUGUCAAGGUCAUCUGAUUCAGGGAGAAUGGGUAACGACGAGAAGGAAGAUUUGGAAUUAGGUAAAGGUGACUACAUGGAUGUUGAUAGAGGGGAGGCUAGUGUUAAUGGUUCAGCUAAUCUUCUAUCUUCUGAUUCGGAGGAUGAAGUGCGCAGGUCUGAAACCCCUGAGCCAGUGAAGCCGGCUCAUCGAUGUAUCAAUAUGCUGCAAGGUUGCAGAAGUGUUGAUGUGUUUGAGAGGCUCAACAAGAUUAAUGAAGGCACCUAUGGUGUUGUAUAUCGAGCAAAGGAUAAGAAGACUGCUGAGAUUGUUGCAUUGAAGAAGGUCAAGAUGGAAAAGGAGAGAGAAGGUUUCCCGUUGACCUCUCUUAGGGAAAUCAACAUCCUUUUAUCUUUCCAUCACCCUUCAAUUGUUGACGUUAAGGAAGUAGUAGUUGGCAGUAGUCUUGAUAGUAUUUUUAUGGUGAUGGAGUACAUGGAGCAUGAUCUUAAGGGUGUCAUGGAGACAAUGAAGCAGCCAUAUACCCAAAGUGAGGUCAAAUGCUUAAUGCUUCAGCUAUUAGAGGGUGUAAAAUAUCUUCAUGACAAUUGGGUACUUCAUAGGGAUUUGAAGACUUCAAAUCUAUUGCUGAAUAACCGUGGUGAGUUGAAAAUAUGUGAUUUUGGACUGUCUCGUCAAUAUGGGAGCCCACUAAAACCUUAUACUCAAUUGGUUGUGACUUUGUGGUACAGGUCACCUGAACUAUUGCUAGGAACAAAGGAAUACUCUACUGCUAUUGACAUGUGGUCCGUGGGCUGCAUUAUGGCAGAGCUUCUCGCCAAAGAACCACUGUUCAAUGGAAAAACAGAGUUUGAACAGCUAGACAAGAUAUUUAGAACACUUGGCACACCUAAUGAGAAGAUAUGGCCUGGUUAUGCCAAGUUACCUGGUGUCAAAGUCAACUUUGUUAAACAACCGUACAACAGAUUAAGGGAUAAGUUCCCAGCUGCGUCUUUUUCUGGGCGUCCAACCCUAUCUGAAGCUGGUUUUGAUCUGUUGAAUAAGCUCUUAACUUAUGAUCCUGCGAAGCGUAUAUCAGCUGAGGCUGCAUUGGAGCAUCCAUGGUUCAGUGAAGUACCUCUACCUAAGUCGAAGGACUUCAUGCCAACAUUUCCAGCUCUAAACGAACUGGACAGGCGUACCAGACGGUAUAUGAAGAGUCCUGAUCCUCUAGAGGAGCAACGGUUGAAAGAACUGCAAGCAAAAGGCAACCGUGGCCUUUUCGGCUGAGCUCAAACCGCUUGCUUGGGUUUUGUUCGUACUGACUGCUAUGCUUCAACCUGAAUCAGUGAGGUCAGAUGGCUUCUGAGGUGAGAUGUGCCAUGGACAUGAAGUAUCAGAUCUUCUUGGUGUCUUCAAGCAACUGACAACGUUCUUUAGCAGGCUUUGUGCUUAGUGACUUGUGGCCCAUCAUAGAAUUCUUUUCACAGGAUUAGCACUCCGACCAGAUUGAUCAUGAAAGCAAAUCUAACCUGCCUCCAUCGUAAGAAAUGAAAGUGGCGAAGGGGAAGGAUGCCUUUAGCUUUUCUUCAGGAAAUCAUGGACAGUAAUACAACUUGAAAGCUUAAGCUGUGGCUGCUUCAAGAGGAAGCUUGAUGGCCGCCAGCUUGUUGUACCUAAGUGACUAAAUUUUGUGGGAGGUCUUGAAGUGUAUUCAUCUGUUACUUGAGUGAGCCAUAGUGGUCACUGGUCAGUUUACUAUCCUUCCUUGUUUAUUAAUGCACCAUAUUCAUCUAACUGUUUUUGGGGGAUGGUCAUCUGUUAUUUGUUUGCAUGGAGUAUGGUUUUUGUUGAACUUUCAUUUCGUCCUCUCCCAUAUGGCCGACACUUUGUUUUCUAUUUGAAAUACCUCCUUGACUGAUGUAAAUGCCACAACAUUGGCAUUGUUUACUCACCUCCAUGAAAUUGAGGCUAUUUAGAUUAGUGAAGGAGGUCAAAAUUAGGCUGAAAUACUAGUGUUGCGUGCUCUCUGUUCCCCAGUUUGGUUAUGGUAGCCUGGUUGUUUUGAUGGGCCACAUUUGGAACAAACGUUUGGCAUGCUCUUUGGGGAUGCAUAACUGCUUAUGGUUCUUGAUGUUUUUGUAGUAGUGUUUUUCUUGUCAUGGGUUAACAUGAGCUGCCCUUGCCACUACAAAUGUUCAAUUGCUACUUGCCACUUCAUUCUGUAUGACGUUGGUGAUUCGGAGUUUUGCGUUGUCGAAUGUGAUGAUCAAUUUCUUGCCCAUUUGUUUGCCUCUUAUUUUAGUUUCAGUUGUCUUGCGGAAGAUAUAUCAGCCCAUCAGCACGCUUGAGUAUGUUUUUGCGAUAUAAACAUUUGCGUAGUUGCAGUGGUGUCGGCGCGCAGAAUAGAAAGAUUGCAGUGGUAUCGGUGCACAGAAUAGAAAACAGUCUAUUCCCUCUGUUCGCAAAUAUAAGAUGUUUUACAUAUUUCAAUAUGGACUACAUACGGACUGAAAUGAAUGAAGAAAGACACUAAAAUGUGUCUAUAUACUCGAAUCAGAAAAUAGUUAGAACAUCUCAGGACUGGAAUUGAAUUACUGGCGGAGGGAGUGCAUUAUAACCUAUGUUGAUAACUGAGACUCGUAGAGUGGGGUUUUUGUUGGUUGGCUACACAUGCAAACGUUUUAUUUGUUUGAGUUGACAAAGUUUUGUAGCACUGGUUUUUUUUUUGCCCGGACCUCACGAAUGCAAAUACAUCAUGACAAUGGGCAAGUUUGUUACUCCCUCCGAUCCAUAGACAAAUCUAGGACAAGUAAUAUGGAUCGGAGGGAGUAGUAGAAAACAAAGCAACAUUUGUUGCCAAUGUUUUAGGAAGUUUCUUUUUUUUUGGAUUUCACUGCUUAUCCAAUGUGCAUGUGUUCCCGGAAUCAGAGUUGCACUUGUGAGGCUCGUCACUUUAUGGAAGAGCAGGAUGCUUCUUCUAGCAUUUACACCCGACGUCAAAUGCCCCUGGUGAACAGUAAAAUCAUGAAAAAUAGAAAAAAAAAAGAUGAAAAACUUCUGUUUUUUUUGUGUUAACCUUGGACAAAAUGUUCUACUCCCUCUUCCCUGUAAUAUAAGAACGAAAAAAGGUUCUUAUAUUAUGGGACGGAGGGAGUAUGUGCUUGCAAAAAUUUAUCAGGAACGGGCAUUCCUGGAAGUCAGUGGCAAAAAGAACAAAAUCGAUAUUCCAAAACUGCUAUUUUUGAAAUUAUUUUGGAGUAUUGAUUUUUUUUGCCAUGACUUCCAUGAGUGUCAUUUCGUGAUGAAAAUUUGCAAGCAUAGAAAUAUUUUGUCAAAGGUUACCAGAAAAAUUCAGCACUUUAAAAAAUCAUUUUCUUUUGAUUUUACUGUUCAUCGGAGCUCAUUUGAGCUCGGGAGCAGAAGAACACUUUAGGCUUCUUUACUAGUCUGUGAUAUAAAUAGUUCUCCUCUUGUAUAACAAGCAGCCUGAUAUCGCUCUCCUCGCUGGACGUGAAUGCCAUAGUGUCAUUCCGUGUCUUUGUUGCACUCCCCGCUGAACCAACGGUUCGAGUCUUCUGGAUUGCCAUAGUUGAGUAAUCUUGUUGCUCACCACCCAUUGGCGUGGGCUUGUGUAGACUCCAUUAUUUGCAGGUCGAUGGGGAUAUGACCAAGCAAGGAGCACGCGCAACUCGAGAGGCAAUUCGGUCUGGAUGACUCAAGCAAUACUACUCUCCGCUGCAGCGCACAUUCGAUGUGAUUAUUAUUACAUGUAUAAAUGUAAAUAGCUCGUUAAUUAGUUAGAGAAUCAAAUACUUCCAUGAGUGCAUAUAUGUUACUGGAAGAACGUUUGGCGGUGAGACAGUAAAAUGUGGUCUGCUCACGAACCUUCUCACA